CAGUCGCCGCGGUAAUACAGAGGGUGCGAGCGUUAAUCGGAUUUACUGGGCGUAAAGCGUGUGUAGGUUGUUGUUCAAGUCAGUUGUGAAAUCCCUGGGCUCAACCUGGGAACUGCUUCUGAGACUGAACGACUAGAGUACGGUAGAGGGUGGUGGAAUUUCCGGUGUAGCGGUGAGAUGCGUAGAUAUCGGAAGGAACAUCAAUGGCGAAGGCAGCCACCUGGGCCUGUACUGACACUGAGACACGAAAGCGUGGGGAUCAAACAGGAUUAGAUACCCGAGUAGUCCCUGUCUCUUAUAA
rnacentral:rRNA from 1 species